rnacentral:rRNA from 1 species
UACAGAGGUCUCAAGCGUUGUUCGGAUUCAUUGGGCGUAAAGGGUGCGUAGGCGGCGCGGUAAGUCGGGUGUGAAAUCUCGGAGCUUAACUCCGAAACUGCAUUCGAUACUGCCGUGCUUGAGGACUGGAGAGGAGACUGGAAUUUACGGUGUAGCGGUGAAAUGCGUAGAUAUCGGAAGGAAGACCAGUGGCGAAGGCGGGUCUCUGGACAGAUCCUGACGCUGAGGCACGAAGGUCAGGGGAGCAAACGGG